UACGUAGGGUGCAAGCGUUGUCCGGAAUUAUUGGGCGUAAAGAGCUCGUAGGCGGUUUGUUGCGUCGGCUGUGAAAUCCCGAGGCUCAACCUCGGGUCUGCAGUCGAUACGAGCAAACUAGAGUGUUGCAGGGGAGACUGGAAUUCCAGGUGUAGCGGUGAAAUGCGUAGAUAUCUGGAGGAAUACCGGUGGCGAAGGCGGCAUCCUGGACCGACAUUGACGCUGAACGGCGAAAGCUAGGGGAGCAAACGGG
rnacentral:rRNA from 1 species